rnacentral:lncRNA from 1 species
AGAUUACGUUAUUGAAGAUAAAUAAUUAUUUUAUAUAAUUUAAUAUGGUAUCAUAAGAGAAGGUUUUGAAUUCGAGUCACGCUAGACUUUUAUUAGUGUAAUUAAUUUUCUCCCAUUUAAUUCAAACUCACGCUAUAGAUUUGUCAAAAAGUCUCGAGCUCAGACGUCAAAAAAGUGUUAGAUAUAAAAAUAUAAAAAUUAUUGAGUCUAAACGCGAGGUAGGGUGUUAAAUGUAAAAAUAUUAUUGUCUAUCAGUUUAAACUAUUGAAGAUAAAUGUUUAUUUCAUCUAAUUUAAUAUUUUUAAA